rnacentral:rRNA from 1 species
AGCAGCCGUGGUAAUUCCAGCUCCAAUAGCGUAUAUUAAAGUUGUUGCAGUUAAAAAGCUCGUAGUUGAAUUUCGGGAUUGGCGCAUCGGUCGUGCCUCACGGGGUAUGAACUGGUGCAGUCAAUUUCUCACCUUCUGGAGAACCGCGAUGUCCUUAAUUGGAUGCCGCGAGGAACCAGGACCUUUACUUUGAAAAAAUUAGAGUGUUUAAAGCAGGCAUUUUUGCUUGAAUACAUUAGCAUGGAAUAAUAAAAUAGGACGGCAUGAUUCUAUUUUGUUGGUUUCUAGGAUCACCGUAAUGAUUAAUAGGGAUAGUUGGGGGCAUUAGUAUUCAAUUGUCAGAGGUGAAAUUCUUGGAUUUAUUGAAGACUAACUACUGCGAAAGCAUUUGCCAAGGAUGUUUUCAUUAAUCAAGAACGAAAGUUAGGGGAUCGAAGACGAUCAGAUACC